rnacentral:rRNA from 1 species
UACGGAGGGUGCAAGCGUUAUCCGGAUUCACUGGGUUUAAAGGGUGCGUAGGCGGGCAGGUAGGUCCGUGGUGAAAUCUCUGAGCUUAACUCAGAAACUGCCAUGGAUACUAUUUGUCUUGAAUAUUGUGGAGGUGAGCGGAAUAUGUCAUGUAGCGGUGAAAUGCUUAGAUAUGACAUAGGACACCAAUUGCGAAGGCAGCUCACUACACAGUUAUUGACGCUGAGGCACGAAAGCGUGGGGAUCAAACAGG